rnacentral:rRNA from 1 species
GACGAACGCUGGCGGCGUGCUUAACACAUGCAAGUCGAACGGAAAGGCCCUGCUUUUGUGGGGUGCUCGAGUGGCGAACGGGUGAGUAACACGUGAGUAACCUGCCCUUGACUUUGGGAUAACUUCAGGAAACUGGGGCUAAUACCGGAUCGGAGCUCCUGCUGCAUGGUGGGGGUUGGAAAGUUUCGGCGGUUGGGGAUGGACUCGCGGCUUAUCAGCUUGUUGGUGGGGUAGUGGCUUACCAAGGCUUUGACGGGUAGCCGGCCUGAGAGGGUGACCGGCCACAUUGGGACUGAGAUACGGCCCAGACUCCUACGGGAGGCAGAAGUGGGGAAUAUUGCACAAUGGGCGGAAGCCUGAUGCAGCAACGCCGCGUGCGGGAUGACGGCCUUCGGGUUGUAAACCGCUUUCGCCUGUGACGAAGCGUGAGUGACGGUAAUGGGUAAAGAAGCACCGGCUAACUACGUG